rnacentral:rRNA from 1 species
UACGAAGGGGGCUAGCGUUGCUCGGAAUCACUGGGCGUAAAGGGUGCGUAGGCGGGUCUUUAAGUCAGGGGUGAAAUCCUGGAGCUCAACUCCAGAACUGCCUUUGAUACUGAGGAUCUUGAGUUCGGGAGAGGUGAGUGGAACUGCGAGUGUAGAGGUGAAAUUCGUAGAUAUUCGCAAGAACACCAGUGGCGAAGGCGGCUCUCUGGGACGGUACUGACGCUGAGGCACGAAAGCGUGGGGAGCAAACAGG